rnacentral:misc_RNA from 1 species
GAUAAUGUGCUUAUGAUUGUACCUCCACCCGAGCCAAUUACAACAGGGUGCCAAUGGGCCAAAUGUAUUUUUCCGGCAAGCCUUGAGGGUAUUGUUUUGAGAUGUGAAGACACCUCCAAGAACGAUGUGAUACCAGUGUAAUAAUGUUGUAGACUUACUAUACUGUUCUCUUUAAUUCUUUUUGUUCACUAUCAAUAUUGACGAUGGCUGUGAUGGUAUUGGUGGUAUUGACAAGUGAUGGUGGUGGUGGGGUGUAUAGUUUUCAUGUUUCUUGCCAUUUUAUGAUUACUAUACACCCCACCACCACCAUCACUUGUCUUUUUUUCUUCUAGGUCUUGAAGGCUUUUGUAAUGGGAUUGGCUUGGUAUUGUAGGGAAUUUUACAU